CCUACGGGAGGCAGCAGUGGGGAAUCUUGCGCAAUGGGCGAAAGCCUGACGCAGCCAUGCCGCGUGGAUGGUGAAGGUCUUAGGAUUGUAAAAUCCUUUCACCGGUGAAGAUAAUGACUGUAGCCGGAGAAGAAGCCCCGGCUAACUUCGUGCCAGCAGCCGCGGUAAUACGAAGGGGGCUAGCGUUGCUCGGAAUUACUGGGCGUAAAGGGAGCGUAGGCGGACAUUUAAGUCAGAGGUGAAAUCCCGGAGCUUAACUUCGGAACUGCCUUUGAUACUGGGUGUCUUGAGUGUGAGAGAGGUAUGUGGAACUCCGAGUGUAGAGGUGAAAUUCGUAGAUAUUCGGAAGAACACCAGUGGCGAAGGCGACAUACUGGCUCAUUACUGACGCUGAGGCUCGAAAGCGUGGGGAGCAAACAGGAUUAGAUACCCUGGUAGUCCACGCCGUAAACGAUGAUUGCUAGUUGUCGGGAAGCUUGCUUCUCGGUGACGCAGCUAACGCAUUAAGCAAUCCGCCUGGGGAGUACGGUCGCAAGAUUAAAACUCAAAGGAAUUGACGG
rnacentral:rRNA from 1 species